CGGGGAACCAGGAGACAGGUGCUGCAUGGCUGUCGUCAGCUCGUGUCGUGAGAUGUUGGGUUAAGUCCCGCAACGAGCGCAAACCCUUAUCUUUAAUUGCCAGCAUUCAGUUGGGCACUUUAAAGAGACUGCCGGUGUUAAACCGGAGGAAGGUGGGGAUGACGUCAAGUCCUCAUGGCCUUUAUGCUUAGGGCUACACACGUGCUACAAUGGGUGGUACAAAGAGAAGCCAACUCGCGAGAGCGCGCCAAUCUCAAAAAGCCAUCCUCAGUUCGGAUUGGAGUCUGCAACUCGACUCCAUGAAGUUGAAAUCGCUAGUAAUCGCGGAUCAGCAUGCCGCGGUGAAUACGUUCCCAGGCCUU
rnacentral:rRNA from 1 species